CCCUGAAUCAAUUAAAAUUUACAACUUUCUGCACACUUGACUCGGAGUCUAAGUUACAAUCGACUGUCCCAAACUCCUUCGAUUAGGUUAACUUCUCUCCGCCGACCGACUGUCCCAAACUCCCACUGCCAUCGCUGCUACUGCUAGCUCCCUCUCCACUUCCUCCCACUUUGGCCACUGCCAUUGUUGCUACUGCUAGCUCCAUCUCCACCACUUCCUCCCACUUCCCCCACUGCCAUCGCUACGCAGUAGCUCCAUCUCCGCCACUUCCGCCAGUUCCACUUCAGCAACCUCCAAGCCGCCCAAGAAUUUGAGUGCGCAACCCACUGACGGAGGCUGACUAACGGACGAGGAUCUGGAAGGCCAUCUCCGGGCUUUGUCUAAGCUUUUCCAGCGUCGCAAGUGUGCCACCCGCUGAGCCCAUCUCCACCACUCCCUAACGUCAUCCUCAUAUCAGUCCACUGGAUUUUGUGCCUAGAUUUUGCAGGUAUAAGUUCUUUUCCUGGCAGAAUGCAAUUCCAAUUCUUCUGCAACUUCUUGCAUUAGUGAAAUGCUUGUUUAGCUGAAUUUUAUAUUGCUUGAUAGAGGUUUCAAAGUGUGGUUCUUUUCUUCUUAUGAUGGCAGAAACUAUUAAUUUGUAUUAGUGGAUAAUUUUGGAGAAUUUGUAUUAGUGGACAUUUGGAGAAUUAUGAUUGUAUUAGUGAUGUUUCGUGCUUAAA